GAUUUGUAUUCUUCUUCUUUAGAAUUUUUUCACUUCAUAGCAUCCAUAAAAUUCAUUGCAUCACAUAAAUUCAAUAGAUCAGCAAAGAAUACAAUAUUGAUAUGUUCUUCAUGUACUUGAGGAAAGAUGUGGUUCUUCCGCAAUGUACCAAAUUAUUUUCUAUCUCUCAAAGAAUAUUUCUUUUUACUUGAUGAAGAUUCAUCUUUGUUCACUUCAAGGUCUAUUGUAAGCUUCUUCUUUCUUAAAACUUGUCUCUUCAUAUUCAAAAGUUGAUAUUCUUCAUUAUCAUCAUCAUCUUUAAUAUCUUCAUUGUCUUCAUUGUUGAUUCUUGCAAUUGUAGACAUACUUUGAUUUACUUUCUUUAGCUCUUCAUCUUAAUUUUUAUUUUUAUCAUCUUCAUUGUUAUCAUC
rnacentral:lncRNA from 1 species